rnacentral:rRNA from 1 species
GACGAACGCUGGCGGCGUGCUUAACACAUGCAAGUCGAACGGAAAGGCCCUGCUUUUGUGGGGUGCUCGAGUGGCGAACGGGUGAGUAACACGUGAGUAACCUGCCCUUGACUUUGGGAUAACUUCAGGAAACUGGGGCUAAUACCGGAUAGGAGCUCCUGCUGCAUGGUGGGGGUUGGAAAGUUUCGGCGGGUGGGGAUGGACUCGCGGCUUAUCAGCUUGUUGGUGGGGUAGUGGCUUACCAAGGCUUUGACGGGUAGCCGGCCUGAGAGGGUGACCGGCCACAUUGGGACUGCGGUACGGCCCAGACUCCUACGGUAGGCAGCAGUGGGGAAUAUUGCACAAUGGGCGGAAGUCUGAUGCAGCAGCGCCGCGUGCGGGAUGACGGCCUUCGGGUUGUAAACCGCUUUCGCCUGUGACGAAGCGUGAGUGACGGUAAUGGGUAAAGAAGCACCGGCUAACUACGUG